AGUGCUUAAACCUAACAGAGGAAGAAGUCUUUUCGGAAUACAAGCCCAAAUAAAUAUUUGAACAGGAAUGGUAUCUUCAUGCGUGUGGUGAAAAAUAGUCCUUUUCAGGCUGUACAGUUUGGCAGGCUGGCAUGUUGACUUUAUCACCUCGGGAUCUCUGGGGUUUCAGACACCUACCCGCAGGCGUCAUCACGAGCAUGCGCACACCCCUGCCCAGGGUCCUGAGGUUGCAGGCUGGGGCCUGUGAGCCGCUCCCAGGAACAUCCCCGGGGCCCAGCCCUCCAGUGCCAGGGCGAAGUUCUUUAUCCCGCCUUGGACACCACCAACGCCAUCGAAUGCCAUUUUAGUUGCGUCUACUUCGUAUCCCUGGAAUUCAGAACUCUGGUAUAAUAGGUAGAAGUGACAACCUUUCUAUCCCGGGAUGAGUUCUGCUUCUCUCAUUUCACUUUUAUGAUAAAACUCCACACAUUUGGAUUGAGAGGGAAGGCAAGAAGCAGUUAAAAUUUUUGAGAGUUUGGAUGGCAGACUAUACUAAAAGGAAGCAUAGACCCUACCAGCCUGUAGGAAAAUAAUUCAUCUGGCCUGACUGUGUUUGUUACCACAUAGCCGGCACGGUUAUCUCAUGCCAGCACCAAGACCAUAUGAAGCUAAAUCAACAGACCCUGAUUUGUUGGCUCAACCAAGUAUAAACUAGCCACUGGAAAAUCGAGUUGAAAACAUAGGACAAAUAUAUGAAAGAGACAAGCCACAGCUUGCAGGAGAGAAGAUGUUUGCAGAAAACUCCAGCAUUACAGGUUUAUCUAAGGUGUGGUCUCAGAAAGUGUGGCAUCAAGAAGCAGUUCUCCAAUCAAUCCACAAGACACAUCUAAAUUAUUGAUUAAUUAUAGCAUCUGAAUUUAGAAAAG